rnacentral:rRNA from 1 species
CCUACGGGUGGCAGCAGUGAGGAAUAUUGGUCAAUGGGCGAGAGCCUGAACCAGCCAAGCAGCGUGAAGGAAGACGGCCCUAUGGGUUGUAAACCUCUUUUGUCAAAGAACAAAACCAGGGACGUGUGCCGUACUGCGUGUAUCCGAAGAAAAAGCAUCGGCUAACUCCGUGCCAGCAGCCGCGGUAAUACGGAGGAUGCGAGCGUUAUCCGGAUUUAUUGGGUUUAAAGGGUUCGUAGGCGGUCCGUUAAGUCAGCGGUAAAAUUGCGGGGCUCAACUCCGGCGAGCCGUUGAAACUGGCAGACUGGAGUGUGCGAGAAGUACGUGGAAUGCGAGGUGUAGCGGUGAAAUGCAUAGAUAUCGCGCAGAACUUCGAUUGCGAAGGCAGCGUACCGGCGCCAGACUGACGCUGAGGCACGAAAGCGUGGGGAUCGAACAGGAUUAGAUACCCUUGUAGUC